UAGCUCGGCGGAGGGACAUUACCGAGUCUAAACAACUCAUCAACCCUGUGAACAUACCUAAAACGUUGCYUCGGCGGGAACAGACGGCCCCGUGAAACGGGCCGCCCCCGCCAGAGGACCCCCUAACUCUGUUGCCAUAUGUAUCUUCUGAGUAAACAAGCAAAUAAAUUAAAACUUUCAACAACGGAUCUCUUGGCUCUGGCAUCGAUGAAGAACGCAGCGAAAUGCGAUAAGUAAUGUGAAUUGCAGAAUUCAGUGAAUCAUCGAAUCUUUGAACGCACAUUGCGCCCGCCAGUAUUCUGGCGGGCAUGCCUGUUCGAGCGUCAUUACAACCCUCAGGCCCCCGGGCCUGGCGUUGGGGAUCGGCGAGGCGCCCCCCGCGGGCACGCGCCGUCCCCCAAAUACAGUGGCGAUCCCGCCGCAGCUUCCAUUGCGUAGUAGCUAACACCUCGCAACUGGAGAGCGGCGCGGCCAUGCCGUAAAACACCCAACUUCUGAAUGUUGACCUCGAAUCAGGUAGGAAUACCCGCUGAACUUAAGCAUAUCAAUAGCCSGGAGGAA
rnacentral:rRNA from 1 species